AAUAAAACAAGUAGACUUUGAAUUAUUUUUAUUUUAUUUAAUGAAAUAACAUAAAAUCCUUUCUUUUCUUACUUAUUUGUAAAGCACAUGGUUUAAUUAUAUACUAAGAUGAAAUCUCGGGCCGAUUUCAAAUUAGUGGUCUCAUCCAAUAAUUAAAUCUUUCUCAUAAGUGAUGCAUGAAGGUAUUACCUUUAGGACAACAAGUCCUACCAU
rnacentral:lncRNA from 1 species